rnacentral:rRNA from 1 species
CAGCAGCCGCGGUAAAACGAAGGGUGCAAGCGUUACUCGGAAUUACUGGGCGUAAAGCGUGCGUAGGUGGUGGUUUAAGUCCGUUGUGAAAGCCCUGGGCUCAACCUGGGAAUUGCAGUGGAUACUGGGUCACUAGAGUGUGGUAGAGGAUAGUGGAAUUUCCGGUGUAGCAGUGAAAUGCGUAGAGAUCGGAAGGAACAUCUGUGGCGAAGGCGACUAUCUGGGCCAACACUGACACUGAGGCACGAAAGCGUGGGGAGCAAACAGGAUUAGAUACCCCUGUAGUCCCUGUCUCUUAUAA